CACAGGGCCACCAACCUCCACAUUUCAGACCAGCCCAGGCUGCCCAGGGCCCCAUCCAACCUGGCCUUCAACACCUCCACGGAUGGACGGGGCAUCCACAGCCUCUCUGGGCAGCUGUUCCAGCACCUCACCACUCUCUCUGUCAACAACUUCCCCCUCACAUCCAACCUCAAUCUGCCCUCCUUCAACUUCAAACCAUUUCCACUUGUCCUGCUCUUAUCUCCCCUCUCAAAGAGUU
rnacentral:lncRNA from 1 species